rnacentral:lncRNA from 1 species
UGCUUCCUCAUGAAUCAUUAUGUAUGUCUUUCCAGUGGAAUCCAAUGAAACUUCAUUUUCUAGAAAUUAUCUGAAAGUAAGGUACGAUGAUCAUGCUUAUUUUUGUCUUUUUAUUUACUUAGGACAGAAGGGAUACAGCAUUAAGAUCUCUGCACAACAUAUUAAACAAAGAAAAAUACUACGUUAGGAAGGAACAGUAGCUGCUACAUAUAAACUAUUCAAGAUAUACUUCUUGUAUAAAGCUCAUAAAUUUUUUAAAUGAAAGAAUUUGAAAACGAAAUUUAAAGUUUGUUUUUUAAUUCAACACAAACAAACUUUAUGCUCAACGAAUUGGUCAAGCAAAUUAAAUUAACGUGAGCAUUUUAACAGACAGUACAAUCUAAAGUUUGAUUCGAGUUUGACUUUGAUAUUAUUUUCAUAUGAAAUAAUAGUAGAAAACAGUACAUAAGAAACUUGGAGGGACUUAAAAUAUUAUAAUGUUGACUAAAAUAAUAUUAUUCUCCUAACUACAUCCUCUUGGUCGAAGUUCUUUUCUUCUUUUCUCCAAAGAUCGUAAGAAGUUAUGAUGACAUGAAAUAAUAACCUAUACCAAAGUUUUGGCGUUAAUUGGGCAUAUUCACAAGUAACACCGCAUAAAGCAAACUUGCUUUUUAUCAUUACAGAUAUACACGAAGAAUUCGGUGGUUUUCCUUUCAUUUUUGUUUUAUUUCUUUGAUUGAACUCGUGUGUGAGAUACUGAGAUAAUCCUCGAAAAUCUGAAAUCAAUUAUUCAACAGUGUAAUGUAUACGUACAGACACAUGUAUUUAUUUUUGCAUAUCAAAUCAAGAAAGCAAAACACGCAACCGCACGCAUCGCAUGACACUGAUAUCACCUUACCCGAUUUCAAUGGAGUUUGCACACGGGUAAUUUCAACGGGGUUAGGUUCGAUGCCAGCCACAACUUGUACUAUACCAACGAAAAAGUCUUCGUCUUCAAUAUUAAUC